rnacentral:rRNA from 1 species
AUUGAACGCUGGCGGCAAGCCUAACACAUGCAAGUCGAGCGAGUGGCGGACGGGUGAGUAAUGUAUGGGGAACUGCCCGAUGGAGGGGGAUAACUACUGGAAACGGUGGCUAAUACCGCAUACUAUCGGAUGUACCCAUAUGGGAUUAGCUAGUAGGUGGGGUAAAGGCUCACCUAGGCGACGAUCCCUAGCUGGUCUGAGAGGAUGAUCAGCCACACUGGAACUGGGACACGGCCCAGACUCCUACGGGAGGCAGCAGUGGGGAAUAUUGCACAAUGGGCGCAAGCCUGAUGCAGCCAUGCCGCGUGUAUGAAGAAGGCCUUAGGGUUGUAAAGUACUUUCAGCGGGGAGGCGUUACCCGCAGAAGAAGCACCGGCUAACUCCGUGCCAGCCGCCGCGGUAAUUC